rnacentral:lncRNA from 13 species
ACUACUGUUUCUCACACACAGUCACUAACUACUGUUCAAUCACAUAGUCACACACUGUCACUAACUACUGUUCAAUCACAUAGUCACACACUGUCAUUAACUACUGUUCAGUCACAUAGUCACAUACUGUCACUAACUACUGUUCAAUCACAUAGUCACAUACUGUCACUAACUACUGUUCAGUCACAUAGUCACAUACUGUCACUAACUACUGUUCAAUCACAUAGUCACAUACUGUCACUAACUACUGUUCAAUCACAUAGACUGUCACUAACUACUGUUCAGUCACACACACUGUCACUAACUACUGUUUAUCACACACUGUCACUAACUACUGUUCAAUCACAUAGACUGUUACUAACUACUGUUCAGUCAUACAGACUGUCACUAACUACUGUUUGUCACACAGAUUGUCACUAACUACUGUUCAAUCACAUAGUCACACACUGUCACUAACUACUGUUCAAUCACAGACACACACUGUCACUAACUACUGUUCAAUCACAGACACACACUGUCACUAACUACUGUUCAAUCACAGACACACACUGUCUCUAACUACUGUUCAAUC